rnacentral:rRNA from 1 species
CCAGACUCCUACGGGAGGCAGCAGUGGGGAAUAUUGCACAAUGGGGGGAACCCUGAUGCAGCGACGCCGCGUGGGUGAAGGAGUAUUUCGGUAUGUAAAGCCCUAUCAGCAGGGAAGAACAAUGACGGUACCUGACUAAGAAGCCCCGGCUAACUACGUGCCAGCAGCCGCGGUAAUACGUAGGGGGCAAGCGUUAUCCGGAUUUACUGGGUGUAAAGGGGGCGCAGACGGCGAUGCAAGCCAGGAGUGAAAGCCCGGGGCCCAACCCCGGGACUGCUCUUGGAACUGCGUGGCUGGAGUGCAGGAGGGGCAGGCGGAAUUCCUGGUGUAGCGGUGAAAUGCGUAGAUAUCAGGAGGAACACCGGUGGCGAAGGCGGCCUGCUGGACUGCAACUGACGUUGAGGCCCGAAAGCGUGGGGAGCAAACAGGAUUAGAUACCCUUGUAGA